UGUGACAAGGCCCGCCGGCUAUGUGAGGCAUUCAAGCAUUGUCAGUCAUGGGGUUGAAAAGCCAGCUAUCCAGUGAUGAAGAACUUCUGGUUGUUCGUCUUUGGAAGGGUCUUCAAUGCCGCUGCUAUAGUGAUUCAAGAUUUUGAUGCUGUUGUGAACAAGGGCUUCUUCCAUGGAUACUCAGUUCUCAUGAUUCUCAACCAUGCAUUCAUUGGCAUUUCUGUGUCUAUGGUAAUUAAUGAAGUAUGCUGACAAUUACCUUCACAAUAGAUAAGGGAACCACUAUUUUUAUUUGAGGUAUAAUGUGCUGAACUUUUACAUAGAGUAAGUGGAUCCCUAUAGUAGUUAAAAAGAAGGUAUAUUAGGGGGAAAAAGAUAUCUUUUCAUUUUUCACAUUGAUAGCCAUUAUGACUUUUGCAUGCCAAUAGGUUUAGAGAUAUAGGUUUUGCUGUAAAUAUUUUUUCUAGUAAUGUUUUGUUGCUCAUGUAAGUGUAUAAUGGUUUGAUUUUUUAACUUAAUACAUCCAGAACAAUGAUUUUUUUUGUUUGUUUUGCACAUGGUGCAUUCUUGGUUUCCUUUUGCUGUUUUGCAUAUAGCUUUUGUUUCAUUUUGAACUUUGUUUCAUCAAGGCUCCAAGUUACUAUAUUUUUACAGCAACUAUUGCUAUUAAUCAUGAUCUCUCUGCUCAUUUAUCUAGAUACAACCCAUUUUCUCCAUUGACAUACAUUGCAGAUUGAUAGACAUAUAUUGAUUCCAUCACUAUAAUAUGAAUUAGAACAUUAAUUGUAAAUAAGGGCUUCUAUUUGCUUAUGAUACAUUAAUUGAUGAAUUAGAACUUUAGCUACAUGUGUUUUCCUUGAACGAAAGACAUUAAGACACAUGACAGACUAGAUUUCAUUGCUCUGUUUGUGUU